rnacentral:rRNA from 1 species
CAAACUGGAGAUGGCGACCGGCGCACGGGUGAGUAACACGUAUCCAACCUGCCGAUAACUCGGGGAUAGCCUUUCGAAAGAAAGAUUAAUACCCGAUGGUAUAAUCAGACCGCAUGGUUUGAUUAUUAAAGAAUUUCGGUUAUCGAUGGGGGUGCGUUCCAUUAGGCAGUUGGUGAGGUAACGGCUCACCAAACCUUCGAUGGAUAGGGGUUCUGAGGGGAAGGUCCCCCACAUUGGAACUGAGACACGGUCCAA